rnacentral:lncRNA from 1 species
ACCGUUUUCAUCCCAAGGGGUACUUUGUUAAUUCGUGGACAGAGUUUCAUCCCACAUUAAUUCCCAACGUAAACCAAACAAGGGAAUGGGAGUGAAAAUCUACUUCCCAUGCCUAAUCCCUUUGUAAACCCCUGAUGCAAACUCUCAUUCCCCUACCCAACUGGUUACCAAACAGGCUGUAUGAGAUUGUUCAGUUACGUCCGGGCACGUCCACUCGGCCCCACAUGCAGUGACUUGACAAGGAAACCAUGGGAAGAAACUCGCGGACGCCGCACUCGAGCCGUCGGCCGCGCCGCAUCGGAGCUGGCAGCCGCCGGGGCGGGCGUGCAUACGCACUGGCAGNCCACCGGUACGGACGGGCGGGCGCGGGCGUCGCAGCCGCGGGCGCGGACACCGCAGCCUCGCGCGUGCGCGAGCUGGCCUGUGGCCGCAGCCUCGCAAGCUCGCAACGAACGACCUUCCAAGCUGCUCAUGAUUUUGCGGUUUCUUUUACUUUGAUUUGCUUUCGGGGAACAAAUCCAUGGAUGCUCUUGCGUUGCUCGUCUUCGGUGGUCGAGUGAUUAUAUGUGUACAGGCUGCCGCCGUGCUCUGACGAGGUCGCACACGAGGUGCUUGUGGAAAUGACCCAAAAAAUAGAGAGAAAAUUGAAUACACGUGGUUGUUUUGAAAGAAAUACAAGGUGGAAUAGCUAGACCCCAGCGUUGUAUGGAUGCAUUUCGUGAUGUGUUAAAUUUCUGUAGUCUCAAUGACUUGGGAUUUGAGGGUGAUAUCUUCACAUGGAGAAAUAAUAAUUACCGGGUUGAUGUUAUA